rnacentral:rRNA from 1 species
CCUCAGAUCAGACGAGACUACCCGCUGAAUUUAAGCAUAUCAGUAAGCGGAGGAAAAGAAACUAACAAGGAUUCCCUCAGUAACGGCGAGUGAAGCGGGAAGAGCCCAGCACCGAAUCCCCUGGUUCUGCGCUAGCGGGAAUUGUGGUGUUUGGGACGCCUAUCGGCGCUGUGUCCCUGUGCCCAAGUCCUUCUGAUCGGGGCCUUUCCCAUAGUGGGUGUCAGGCCUUUAGCGGCACGGGACUAGGCUUCCUUGAGCGUCCUUGGAGUCGGGUUGUUUGGGAAUGCAGCCCUAAGCGGGUGGU